rnacentral:rRNA from 1 species
GGUUGUCCUGGUUCAAGUGCGUAGGCUUGAGAGUUAGGUAAAUCCGGCUCUCUCUAAGGCUGAGACACGACGUCGAGCUGCUACGGCAGUGAAGUCAUUGAUGCCAUGCUUCCAGGAAAAGCCUCUAAGCUUCAGAUAGUCAGGAAUCGUACCCCAAACCGACACAGGUGGUCGGGUAGAGAAUACCAAGGCGCUUGAGAGAACUCGGGUGAAGGAACUAGGCAAAAUGGUACCGUAACUUCGGGAGAAGGUACGCUCUUGAUGGUGAAGUCCCUCGCGGAUGGAGCUGACGAGAGUCGCAGAUACCAGGUGGCUGCAACUGUUUAUUAAAAACACAGCACUGUGCAAAAUCGCAAGAUGACGUAUACGGUGUGACGCCUGCCCGGUGCCGGAAGGUUAAUUGAUGGGGUUAGCGCAAGCGAAGCUCUUGAUCGAAGCCCCGGUAAACGGCGGCCGUAACUAUAACGGUCCUAAGGUAGCGAAAUUCCUUGUCGGGUAAGUUCCGACCUGCACGAAUGGCGUAAUGAUGGCCACGCUGUCUCCACCCGAGACUCAGUGAAAUUGAAAUCGCUGUGAAGAUGCAGUGUACCCGCGGCUAGACGGAAAGACCCCGUGAACCUUUACUACAGCUUGGCACUGAACAUUGAACCUACAUGUGUAGGAUAGGUGGGAGGCUUUGAAGACGUGACGCCAGUUGCGUUGGAGCCGUCCUUGAAAUACCACCCUUGUAUGUUUGAUGUUCUAACUUAGACCCAUUAUCUGGGUUGAGGACAGUGCCUGGUGGGUAGUUUGACUGGGGCGGUCUCCUCCCAAAGAGUAACGGAGGAGCACGAAGGUGGGCUAAUCACGGUUGGACAUCGUGAGGUUAGUGCAAUGGCAUAAGCCCGCUUAACUGCGAGAAUGACGGUUCGAGCAGGUGCGAAAGCAGGUCAUAGUGAUCCGGUGGUUCUGUAUGGAAGGGCCAUCGCUCAACGGAUAAAAGGUACUCCGGGGAUAACAGGCUGAUACCGCCCAAGAGUUCAUAUCGACGGCGGUGUUUGGCACCUCGAUGUCGGCUCAUCACAUCCUGGGGCUGAAGUCGGUCCCAAGGGUAUGGCUGUUCGCCAUUUAAAGUGGUACGCGAGCUGGGUUUAGAACGUCGUGAGACAGUUCGGUCCCUAUCUGCCGUGGGCGUUGGAAGAUUGAAGGGGGCUGCUCCUAGUACGAGAGGACCGGAGUGGACGAACCUCUGGUGUUCGGGUUGUGUCGCCAGACGCAUUGCCCGGUAGCUAAGUUCGGAAUUGAUAAGCGCUGAAAGCAUCUAAGCGCGAAGCGAGCCCUGAGAUGAGUCUUCCCUGAUACUUUAAGUAUCCUAAAGGGUUGUUCGAGACUAGAACGUUGAUAGGCAGGGUGUGUAAGCGUUGUGAGGCGUUGAGCUAACCUGUACUAAUUGCCCGUGAGGCUUAACCA